UACGGGGGGGGCAAGCGUUGUUCGGAAUUACUGGGCGUAAAGGGCUCGUAGGCGGCCAACUAAGUCGGAUGUGAAAUCCCCAGGCUCAACUUGGGAACUGCAUCCGAUACUGGAUGGCUUGAAUUCGGGAGAGGGAUGCAGAAUUCCAGGUGUAGCGGUGAAAUGCGUAGAUAUCUGGAGGAAUACCGGUGGCGAAGGCGGGUCUCUGGGCAACAACUGACGCUGAGGAGCGAAAGCGUGGGGAGCGAACAGG
rnacentral:rRNA from 1 species